rnacentral:rRNA from 1 species
GAUGAACGCUGGCGGCGUGCCUAAUACAUGCAAGUCGAGCGAACAGACGAGGAGCUUGCUCCUCUGACGUUAGCGGCGGACGGGUGAGUAACACGUGGAUAACCUACCUAUAAGACUGGGAUAACUUCGGGAAACCGGAGCUAAUACCGGAUAAUAUAUCGAACCGCAUGGUUCAAUAGUGAAAGACGGUUUUGCUGUCACUUAUAGAUGGAUCCGCGCCGCAUUAGCUAGUUGGUAAGGUAACGGCUUACCAAGGCAACGAUGCGUAGCCGACCUGAGAGGGUGAUCGGCCACACUGGAACUGAGACACGGUCCAGACUCCUACGGGAGGCAGCAGUAGGGAAUCUUCCGCAAUGGGCGAAAGCUUGACGGAGCAACGCCGCGUGAGUGAUGAAGGUCUUCGGAUCGUAAAACUCUGUUAUUAGGGAAGAACAAAUGUGUAAGUAACUAUGCACGUCUUGACGGUACCUAAUCAGAAAGCCACGGCUAACUACGUG